rnacentral:rRNA from 1 species
UACAGAGGGUGCAAGCGUUAAUCGGAAUUACUGGGCGUAAAGCGUGCGUAGACGGUUAUGUAAGUCAGGCGUGAAAGCCCCGGGCUCAACCUGGGAACAGCGCUUGAGACUGGCACGCUCGAGUUCGGGAGAGGAUGGUGGAAUUCCCAGUGUAGAGGUGAAAUUCGUAGAUAUUGGGAAGAACACCGAUGGCGAAGGCAGCCAUCUGGACCGACACUGACGCUGAGGCGCGAAAGCGUGGGGAUCGAACAGG